rnacentral:tRNA from 1 species
CGGGAGGUGGCGCAGUUUGGUUUAGCGCACUUGCUUUGGGAGCAAGGGGUCGUGGGUUCGAAUCCCACUCUCCCGACCA